AAUUUUUUCUUCUUCCAUGCACCCGAGAGCCCUAGUUGUCGUCGACCUUCAUUCUCCCCUCACUUCUAUUCGCGCCAUUGUUAUUGAGUUUUUCAUUUCGUUGUCUGCUCAGUUGUACCAACCCUCUCCCUCAUCGUUUGCUCAACUCCCUCUCCGUCUGGUCAAUCGUGCCAGCCGGCCAGCUGUGCACGUCGUUCGCGAGUCUUCAGCCCCACCUAGAUUUGUAGCCGAACGCUUCUGUCGCUUCAGCCCCACCCAGAUCUGUAGUCGAACGCCGUCAAUCGCUUCCAUCGCUUCCGACGCUUCAGCCCCGCCCAGAUCUGUAGCCGAAUGUCCCCAGCCCCGCCCAGAUCUAUAGCCGAACGCCCCCAAUCCUUGUUUUUGGUCAUAGAUUCAGGUUGUAGCGGAGUUUGAAGAUUGGAAGCGUGUUGUGCGGGGUUGCAAGAAAGUUGGUCGAGGCUCGAGUGAAGCAUCGAUUUGAGUAAACACUUCGGGUAAGUGUUUUGGAUGUAUUUGAAUGAUUGUGAUUUGAGUUUUAAUAUAGCAUCUUCUGUAAUGAUUUGCUU